rnacentral:rRNA from 1 species
UGGGGAGUACGGCCGCAAGGUGAAAACUCAAAUGAAUUGACGGGGGCCCGCACAAGCGGUGGAGCAUGUGGUUUAAUUCGAUGCAACGCGAAGAACCUUACCUACUCUUGACAUCCAGAGAACUUAGCAGAGAUGCUUUGGUGCCUUCGGGAACUCUGAGACAGGUGCUGCAUGGCUGUCGUCAGCUCGUGUUGUGAAAUGUUGGGUUAAGUCCCGCAACGAGCGCAACCCUUAUCCUUUGUUGCCAGCGAUUCGGUCGGGAACUCAAAGGAGACUGCCGGUGAUAAACCGGAGGAAGGUGGGGAUGACGUCAAGUCAUCAUGGCCCUUACGAGUAGGGCUACACACGUGCUACAAUGGCGUAUACAAAGAGAAGCGACCUCGCGAGAGCAAGCGGAACUCAUAAAGUACGUCGUAGUCCGGAUUGGAGUCUGCAACUCGACUCCAUGAAGUCGGAAUCGCUAGUAAUCGUAGAUCAGAAUGCUACGGUGAAUACGUUCCCGGGCCUUGUACACACCGCCCGUCACACCAUGGGAGUGGGUUGCAAAAGAAGUAGGUAGCUUAACCUUCGGGAGGGCGCUUACCACUUUGUGAUUCAUGACUGGGGUGAAGUCGUAACAAGGUAACCAAGGGCGAAUUCGCGGC